AGGGAAUCUUCCACAAUGGACGCAAGUCUGAUGGAGCAACGCCGCGUGAGUGAAGAAGGGUUUCGGCUCGUAAAGCUCUGUUGUUGGUGAAGAAGGACAGGGGUAGUAACUGACCUUUGUUUGACGGUAAUCAAUUAGAAAGUCACGGCUAACUACGUGCCAGCAGCCGCGGUAAUACGUAGGUGGCAAGCGUUGUCCGGAUUUAUUGGGCGUAAAGCGAGUGCAGGCGGCUCGAUAAGUCUGAUGUGAAAGCCUUCGGCUCAACCGGAGAAUUGCAUCAGAAACUGUCGAGCUUGAGUACAGAAGAGGAGAGUGGAACUCCAUGUGUAGCGGUGAAAUGCGUAGAUAUAUGGAAGAACACCGGUGGCGAAGGCGGCUCUCUGGUCUGUUACUGACGCUGAGGCUCGAAAGCAUGGGUAGCGAACAGGAUUAGAUACCCUGGUAGUCCAUGCCGUAAACGAUGAGUGCUAAGUGUUGGGAGGUUUCCGCCUCUCAGUGCUGCAGCUAACGCAUUAAGCACUCCGCCUGGGGAGUACGACCGCAAGGUUG
rnacentral:rRNA from 1 species